GCCCCCGUGGUGUAGCUUGGAUAGCACACGAGAUUGCGGAUCUUGGAACCGGGGUUCAAAUCCUCGCAGGGGCG
rnacentral:tRNA from 1 species